rnacentral:lncRNA from 1 species
GUCCUUACCAGAAGCCUGCACUCUCUGAAGCACUGAGGCUGUCUUGAGCUAACUGAUCUGCUCUCUGGAUUCCAGGGACACCCACAGAGCCAGAGGUUGAAGGCACAGGCGUUGAUGUCUCCGACUGUUCUGACUCCAGAAAUUGGGUUGGUAACAUUGAAGAGACACUUCUCACCUGCCUGAAAUGCCCUACGUUAUCUUCUUCAAGUUGUAAGGGCUCUGGAACAGCCCUUGCAGUGCUCCCACAAAGGAAGAAAAUAACAGGGAUCUUCAUGGAGAAAUGACCCACGCGAGGGCCUGGACUCUCCAGCAGUUACAGCAGAAGAAAGUUUUUGAAGAAGAGUAGAGGAACUGAGAGCCCCGGCCAGGAAAGCAGGGUUGUGUGAAACGCUAUUUGAUCCUAUGUGCUCCCUGCCCCAAUCUAGCAGCUAGUGAAUGACAGCUGACCAAGUAUAAAUGCCAGGACUAUAGAACUGUGAUAAAGGGUUUGUCCAAGGAAAGGGGCUUUUACUAUUUUUGUUUUCACAGAGGAAAUGGCUAUUUUUCAUCUAAAGUUUCUGAAAGGCAGCAGGGAGCUUCUGGAGGGUGAGUUACCUGCUCUGCACAGGGAGGCUGAGGCCAAGGCUUGUGUGGUGGAUCUGCUGCCACCAAGUGGUGAGGGAGGGAGCCUGGGAGAGUCUCAGUCUUUCUGGGCUUCAGUUUCCUCAUCGGUAAGGUAGGGGCUUAUUGUACCUCUCUGAGGUCCCUUCCUGCUCUGUUUUCUCUGAGUCUCUGAGGAAUUGAGAUGGUUUUCAAUGCUGCCUGGGACCUUCAGCUGAGACCUGACUCUGUGUGUCUCCUGCAGGAGCCUGAGCCGAGUCUACACGCUGGAAUCCCAGAGCUGCGGGAACAGGUGGAAGAAAGAAAGUCAGCAGGUUUAGGGGAUGAGAAUAAUCCACAAAGGACAAGCCAUUGGGAGCCUUGGGAGGAGCCUGAAUCACUGAUGGAAUUGGACAGUGCAUGGAGAUGAUUGAGCAGGACAAGGGUAAGUGCAGGGGCAUGGCCAGGUCAUACUGGGAGACAAUGAGCAGCACUGAUGGGGACAGACAAAGAUAAAGUCAAAAGUGUGUGCUUCAGUGUCAAAAACUCAAACCGAUAACUAAUUUGCUUUUAUAAGUAAUAAGUAUUUUUCUACCUACAUGAGAAUUUAAUCUCAAAACAGAAAUCAUAAAAAUAGUAAGCCCAGGGCAUAAGACCUAAACCAUAGCUCAUAUUUAUUCUUUCUUUCUUUCUUUUUUAGGUUAGGCUGAUUUAUAAGUGCUGCUCUGGGCAGUUACAGAGUUUGUUUACAAUGAGGAGUUAUUUGACUUUGAACACACUGUACAUGGCAAUUAGAAGUCAUCAUGGCAAGAGAAAGCCACAGCUGACCUGCCUCAGCCCACACAAGAACCAGAAAAUGGCAGGGGAAGGAAGGAAUAAAGGUGGGUUUUAUUUCUUACUACCAAUGAAAAAAAAAUUCCUUGGCAGUCUUAACAAAAAGUCAUUGCUGUCGGAGGUUUG